rnacentral:lncRNA from 1 species
UGGCUCAGUGUGCUCUCAAGCUUAUUCAGAGAAGGUUGACAGACUUCAUUUUAUUGUUCAUCUAGGUCAGUAAUUCCCAGGAGAGAAAGUUUCUACUUGAGACUUGGAGUUUCAGUAUUCUUGUCUUAAAAAGCCUCCAAAAGAACUGUGAAACACAUAUUGAUUUUGGCCUUGACUUCAGUGUAUCUCAAACGGGCUGAUUCUACAGAACUUGAUUCAAAGCAUUUCUUCUAUGUCUUGAUGCCUUUCUGCCAAGCAAAAUUGAUCAUUUCUGACCAGAAGGCUCUGAGCUGAAGGAAAGUGAGGAGGCUCUCGGCUGCUGCAGGCACACUUUGGCUGUGCGUGUGGGGCUUUUAAUUUUUCUCUUAAGCUCUCCUAGUCACCGUGCUGCGUGUCCCGUUGUUGGGGACCAUUUGGAGGGCACAUUUGGUGCCGUCGCCUAGUCCUGGAGCUUGUAACCGAGAAUCUUUAGAUGUCUGUUUCCUUGGCAUUCUGAUGAGUAGAUACCUGGGGUCUUCCCUGACAGUUGGUUCUUGUGUUCUCUUGUAUCUCGACAUCUGCUGUGGUUGCGUUUGUGGUGCUGAUGUGCCUUCACCAGCAAUGCCUGGUAUGGUUUGUUGUUGGAUAAGAAGUAUGUUUAGUUCCAGUCUGACAACUUCCCUGAGCAUCUAGGACAGUAGUUCUCAACCUGUGGGUCAUGCCCUCUGUAGGGGAAGGGAGGUUCACACAUCAGAC